GAUCUUCAGGGCAGGGUGAAAUUCCCGAUCGGCGGUAUAGUCCGCGAGCGCUUUUGCGCAAGAUUUGGUGAGAUUCCAAAACCGACAGUAUAGUCUGGAUGGAAGAAGAUA
rnacentral:ncRNA from 1 species